AGAAAGAGACAGAGAAAAAUAAAGAAAUAAAGACAGAAACAGAAGAGAAAGAGAGAGAAGAGAUAUCAUCCCACUCUCCCUCUCUUUCUCUCUCUCUCUCUCUUCUGUCAUGUUAUUCUCAUUCUUCUCAUUACUCUCAUUCUUCUGAUUA
rnacentral:ribozyme from 1 species